UGAAGCACUGGGAAUAGUGUCUGGCACACAGCACUCUCCCAGGAGCACACCGCGGCGCUAGAGAAGACCAGGAAAAAGGACCUGAGCCAGCUUGCCGUCUUAACAAAAAUUUCAAACUUUGCAAAGCGGUAUACCUUCUUAUUCUCCAGUUCAGUAUUGCCAGUGAAGUCAUACUGAACGCAGACAAGGAAAAGAAAGAAAAAGGUAGGUCUGUGCACAUUGUUUUAUUUCUCUGUAGCCAGCCUUGUCCCAGGAAGACUUGUUUCUCAUAAAAUCCUGCCUAAGAAUGGAAUAGCUCCUAGCCUGCGAGGAGGGGGGACUCCUCGGGAAAGGCAAGUUCAUUUCUUUUUCCCCAUAAGCCUUGGUGAAGGGGAGCAAUUUUGCCUCUGUCUGCCCUCUGUGGUCUUUUCCUCACUCCAUCGCAUCAUAUGAAAAGGAAUAUCAGGUCCAAAGUCAAUGUAAACAUUUACAAGAUUCUGAGAUGACCCAGGAAGCGUUUUUCUCAAUGUAAGUAGGUCUGGGAACAGAUCCUUGAGUUUUUAAAGACCCCUCCACGCUGAAGUUCAGUCUUUAGGCCCGGCCACCUUGGUAAUUGUAAUUUGCAGACAUUGGUAGUGUUUUUCAGUCUUUUGAUUCCACGGUGCUUGUUACUUACAUGUAUUCACAUCAGCCCAAAACAUUUCAGAGUUUUACUUUCAGUGGUGGUUAC
rnacentral:lncRNA from 10 species